rnacentral:lncRNA from 1 species
ACAAUCCUAUUUUGAAACUUAUUUUCUUGUCGACCGGAAAACCUAGAACAUUUACCACCACACCCAUCCUACCCACCAUUUAAAUCUAAAUAUUAAAUUAGCACGCCUUAGCGACAGGAUAGUUCUCAACAGCCAUAGAUCAGAUUACUUUCGGACUUUGAAUGACCGUAAAACGUGUUUGCAACCUAAUUUCUUAUAGUGACUAAUUUUCUACUUUAAUUCUGAAAUAACCAAAGUACAAAUUAGUAACAUUUAAUUUUAAGUUACUUUUGUGAAAAUUUGCUGAUUUUCGAAUUCAUAAUAGAUUGCAUUAGUAGGUUGUCUUGCAUUGCAUUUGGUAGAUUAGGGUUCAAUAGUAGCAUUGCAUAUCAUAUCACCAACUAGAGUAGUCCCUGCAUGCCAACCCAUAGUGGUAGAGAGUACCUCCUCACUGAUUCUCAGACCUCUUCACCCACCAUGGACCCCAGAGUUCUACAAGAUAUUUUGGAACAAUUAGCUGCAUUACGAGCU